rnacentral:rRNA from 1 species
GUUUGAUGUUCUAACGUGGACCCGUAAUCCGGGUUGCGGACAGUGUCUGGUGGGUAGUUUGACUGGGGCGGUCUCCUCCUAAAGAGUAACGGAGGAGCACGAAGGUUGGCUAAUCCUGGUCGGACAUCAGGAGGUUAGUGCAAUGGCAUAAGCCAGCUUGACUGCGAGCGUGACGGCGCGAGCAGGUGCGAAAGCAGGUCAUAGUGAUCCGGUGGUUCUGAAUGGAAGGGCCAUCGCUCAACGGAUAAAAGGUACUCCGGGGAUAACAGGCUGAUACCGCCCAAGAGUUCAUAUCGACGGCGGUGUUUGGCACCUCGAUGUCGGCUCAUCACAUCCUGGGGCUGAAGUAGGUCCCAAGGGUAUGGCUGUUCGCCAUUUAAAGUGGUACGCGAGCUGGGUUUAGAACGUCGUGAGACAGUUCGGUCCCUAUCUGCCGUGGGCGCUGGAGAACUGAGGGGGGCUGCUCCUAGUACGAGAGGACCGGAGUGGACGCAUCACUGGUGUUCGGGUUGUCAUGCCAAUGGCACUGCCCGGUAGCUAAAUGCGGAAGAGAUAAGUGCUGAAAGCAUCUAAGCACGAAACUUGCCCCGAGAUGAGUUCUCCCUGAGACUUAGAGUCUCCUGAAG